GACGAACGCUGGCGGCGUGCCUAAUACAUGCAAGUAGAACGCUGAAGGAGGAGCUUGCUUCUCUGGAUGAGUUGCGAACGGGUGAGUAACGCGUAGGUAACCUGCCUGGUAGCGGGGGAUAACUAUUGGAAACGAUAGCUAAUUCCGCAUAAGAGUAGAUGUUGCAUGACAUUUACUUAAAAGGUGCAAUUGCAUCACUAUCCAGAUGGACCUGCGUUGUAUUAGCUAGUUGGUGGGGUAACGUCUCACCAAGGCGACGAUACAUAGCCGACCUGAGAGGGUGAUCGGCCACACUGGGACUGAGACGCGGCCCAGACUCCUACGGGAGGCAGCAGUGAGGGAAUCUUCGGCAAUGGACAGGAAGUCGUGACCUGAGCAACGCCGCGUGAGUGAAGAAGGUUUUCGGAUCGUAAAGCUCUGUUGUAAGAGAAGAACGAGUGUGAUGAUGUGUUUAGUUCACAG
rnacentral:rRNA from 1 species